GCCGCUCCCAUUGGGAGGCAUUUUCUUGGAAACCACCACAGUGACUGUUGAAAAUUAAUGUCUGUGUGACAUAGCUGAAUGCCUUCAAUAAAGUGGCUAGUGGGUUACAUGGAUCAUAAAAUGCCUCCUGAGUUUUUUUCUAAAAGAAACUUUCUACAAAGAAACAAGUCGUGAGGAUAUUUGAGUAGCUGUGCAUAACUCGAGGGUAUGUUUUGAGCUACCCUGGAAAAGAAUAACCUAAGAUGAAGCCUCCAUGCUGUGACCAUCUCUGCGUCAUUCUCUGUCAUCCCACAUCUCAGAGAGCUCUCACUGGUCAUGCUUACAAUUGAGGUGAACCCAAACAGCUGCUAAAAGCUUAAGCUCAAAUGCUCUCUGCUCUUUGUCAGACAGUUGGUGAACUAGAGCAACACUGUCCGGGAUCUUUGCACUUUUCUCAGGAUUUUGUGACCUUGUGCAAUUGAGAAUGAUCACCAGAGGCUUCUCGUACCGAAUAUGUUUGUUAGCAACAGCAGUUUGGAUGGAGGCCUGCAGAAGGUAGACAUUGUCUUGCUCUUCAAAAUCGUCAACGAGGAGCAGCACAGCACAGCACAUCUGAACUUCUUUCUUAGAUCCCAGAGAAUGUGCAUGGCCAAAGUAGUUCCUCCACAGCCUGGAUGAUGGUACAGAGCAAGUGUAUGCCAUUGACUGAGAACCAUUUGCAUUAUUUGGUCCCAUUGCACAGACCUAAAAUAUGAACACAGAAAGAGAGGUUGGUUUCGACAUUUCAGAUAAGGUAAGAUUGGGUGCACUCAGGGUGGUAUUGUUAUAGACAGGUUUCAACAUUUUAAUCUAAUUAGCAAAGGGAUGUUUUUAGAUGACCAUAAAUUGUGCAUGUAUGAUAAAAUAUCUAAAGAAAUAAUUUUAAAAGCUAUAAAAAGUAAUACACCAAAAUAUGCAUAUAAAUG
rnacentral:lncRNA from 1 species